GACGUAGGAUGCAAGCGUUGUCCGGAAUUAUUGGGCGUAAAGAGUUUGUAGGCGGCAUAUCAAGUCUGGUGUUAAAGCCCGUGGCUCAACCACGGUUCGGCGCUGGAAACUGAUAAGCUAGAGUGCAGAAGAGGCAAGGGGAAUUCCCAGUGUAGCGGUGAAAUGCGUAGAUAUUGGGAGGAACACCAGUGGCGUAAGCGCCUUGCUGGGCUGUAACUGACGCUGAGAAACGAAAGCCAGGGGAGCAAAUGGG
rnacentral:rRNA from 1 species